CACGCAGACCGGGCCCCUCUGACGGCAAUCGUGCCGUGAUGUCGGACUGCAUCG
rfam:Rhodobacterales bacterium RIFCSPHIGHO2_02_FTLL_62_130 rifcsphigho2_02_scaffold_29, whole genome shotgun sequence.